UACACUCCUGCGGGAGGCAGCAGUGGGGAAUAUUGCACAAUGGGCGCAAGCCUGAUGCAGCCAUGCCGCGUGUAUGAAGAAGGCCUUCGGGUUGUAAAGUACUUUCAGCGGGGAGGAAGGCGAUAAGGUUAAUAACCUUGUUGAUUGACGUUACCCGCAGAAGAAGCACCGGCUAACUCCGUGCCAGCAGCCGCGGUAAUACGGAGGGUGCAAGCGUUAAUCGGAAUUACUGGGCGUAAAGCGCACGCAGGCGGUCUGUCAAGUCGGAUGUGAAAUCCCCGGGCUCAACCUGGGAACUGCAUUCGAAACUGGCAGGCUAGAGUCUUGUAGAGGGGGGUAGAAUUCCAGGUGUAGCGGUGAAAUGCGUAGAGAUCUGGAGGAAUACCGGUGGCGAAGGCGGCCCCCUGGACAAAGACUGACGCUCAGGUGCGAAAGCGUGGGGAGCAAACAGGAUUAGAAACCCUGGUAGUCCCAU
rnacentral:rRNA from 1 species